AGUGAACGCUGGCGGUAGGCCUAACACAUGCAAGUCGAACGGCAGCACAGUAAGAGCUUGCUCUUACGGGUGGCGAGUGGCGGACGGGUGAGGAAUACAUCGGAAUCUACUUUUUCGUGGGGGAUAACGUAGGGGAACUUACGCUAAUACCGCAUACGACCUACGGGUGAAAGCAGGGGAUCUUCGGACCUUGCGCGAUUGAAUGAGCCGAUGUCGGAUUAGCUAGUUGGCGGGGUAAAGGCCCACCAAGGCGACGAUCCGUAGCUGGUCUGAGAGGAUGAUCAGCCACACUGGAACUGAGACACGGUCCAGACUCCUACGGGAGGCAGCAGUGGGGAAUAUUGGACAAUGGGCGCAAGCCUGAUCCAGCCAUACCGCGCGGGUGAAGAAGGCCUUCGGGUUGUAAAGCCCUUUUGUUGGGAAAGAAAAGCAGCAGGUUAAUACCCCGCUGUUCUGACGGUACCCAAAGAAUAAGCACCGGCUAACUUCGUGC
rnacentral:rRNA from 1 species